AGUGAACGCUGGCGGUAGGCCUAACACAUGCAAGUCGAACGGCAGCACAGUAAGAGCUUGCUCUUACGGGUGGCGAGUGGCGGACGGGUGAGGAAUACAUCGGAAUCUACUUUUUCGUGGGGGAUAACGUAGGGAAACUUACGCUAAUACCGCAUACGACCUACGGGUGAAAGCAGGGGAUCUUCGGACCUUGCGCGAUUGAAUGAGCCGAUGUCGGAUUAGCUAGUUGGCGGGGUAAAGGCCCACCAAGGCGACGAUCCGUAGCUGGUCUGAGAGGAUGAUCAGCCACACUGGAACUGAGACACGGUCCAGACUCCUACGGGAGGCAGCAGUGGGGAAUAUUGGACAAUGGGCGCAAGCCUGAUCCAGCCAUACCGCGUGGGUGAAGAAGGCCUUCGGGUUGUAAAGCCCUUUUGUUGGGAAAGAAAAGCAGCAGGUUAAUACCCCGCUGUUCUGACGGUACCCAAAGAGUAAGCACCGGCCAACUUCGUG
rnacentral:rRNA from 1 species